UGGACAGAUUAUUGUAUUCGAUUGUAUUCACGGCGUGAAACAGGGGAUUACACUGUUUUUAAACAGAAAGUGAAUCAAUUAACAUAAUAGACUCCU
rnacentral:pre_miRNA from 1 species